rnacentral:rRNA from 1 species
GACGAACGCUGGCGGCGUGCUUAACACAUGCAAGUCGAACGGAAAGGCCCUGCUUUUGUGGGGUGCUCGAGUGGCGAACGGGUGAGUAACACGUGAGUAACCUGCCCUUGACUUUGGGAUAACUUCAGGAAACUGGGGCUAAUACCGGAUAGGAGCUCCUGCUGCAUGGUGGGGGUUGGAAAGUUUCGGCGGUUGGGGAUGGACUCGCGGCUUAUCAGCUUGUUGGUGGGGUAGUGGCUUACCAAGGCUUUGACGGGUAGCCGGCCUGAGAGGGUGACCGGCCACAAUGGGACUGAGAUACGGACCAGACUGCUACGGGAGGCAGCAGUGGGGAAUAUUGCACAAUGGGCGGAAGCCUGAUGCAGCAACGCAGCGUGCGGGAUGACGGCCUUCGGGUUGUAAACCGAUUUCGCAUGUGACGAAGCGUGAGUGACGGUAAUGGGUAAAGAAGCACCGGCUAACUACGUG